AGCAGUAGCCGCGGUAAUACGUAGGUGGCAAGCGUUGUCCGGAAUUAUUGGGCGUAAAGGGCUCGCAGGCGGUUUCUUAAGUCUGAUGUGAAAGCCCCCGGCUCAACCGGGGAGGGUCAUUGGAAACUGGGAAACUUGAGUGCAGAAGAGGAGAGUGGAAUUCCACGUGUAGCGGUGAAAUGCGUAGAGAUGUGGAGGAACACCAGUGGCGAAGGCGACUCUCUGGUCCGUAACUGACGCUGAGGAGCGAAAGCGUGGGGAGCGAACAGGAUUAGAUACCCCCGUAGUCCCUGUCUCUUAUAC
rnacentral:rRNA from 1 species